AAAGCCGAUUGUGAAAAAAUGGAUAAACGUGACAAGGUAAUGUAUAAUUUUUAUAAUUAACAAUACUUUAUAUUACGAACUGAUUUGCAAUAAAUAAAAUUACCAAACUUAAAUUCAACCAACUAAUUAUAUGAUUUUACUACCUUGCAGUUAAUCAGACUACAUACAAUAAAUAGGAGAGAUACGUGGAUCUUAUUCUCAUCGAAGCCAUCCUGUCUGUACUUUGAUAGUCUUCUGAUCCCCAUUAAUAAUUGAAACAGGAUAAAGGAAAUCCAAUAGCGAAAAUUAAAAUUUAAAUAUUUCACGGAACGAGCGCAUAUAGCCCAAGAUCUUGUGCGUUGUAAACCCAUAAUCAAAUUGUGGAAAAUUCGAUUGAAGGAAAAGGAUAAACACGAAAAGUUAAUCAGUCCACAAUAAACAAGAGGAAAAUUGAUCUAAUUCUCAACAAAGCCCUUCUAUCAGUACCUGGAUAAAGUCUGCUGAUCGCAAAUAUUGAUUAAUAUACGAUAGAGGAAAUCAAUUCGCAAGAAAUGAAGUUUAAAGAUUUCAUCAACUGACAUAAGAAGCAGAACUUUCUCGAUUCCAUGAAGAGGGGAACUUUGGAAAAAAAUGAUGCUGAAUGUUGUGGACACUUACAUAAAAUUGCCCAACUCCACCGGACACAUUGGCUUUUUUUUUCAACAAAACGGGGUAUAAAAGACAUCCCAUUUUUAAAAAUUGUUUUAUGUAAUUA